rnacentral:rRNA from 1 species
AAACUAUCAACAACGGAUCUCUUGGUUCUGGCAUCGAUGAAGAACGCAGCGAAAUGCGAUAAGUAAUGUGAAUUGCAGAAUUCAGUGAAUCAUCGAAUCUUUGAACGCACAUUGCGCCCCUCGGUAUUCCGGGGGGCAUGCCUGUUCGAGCGUCAUUA